UGACAGGUGGUGCAUGGUUGUCGUCAGCUCGUGUCGUGAGAUGUUGGGUUAAGUCCCGCAACGAGCGCAACCCUUGAUCUUAGUUGCCAGCAUUCAGUUGGGCACUCUAAGGUGACUGCCGGUGACAAACCGGAGGAAGGUGGGGAUGACGUCAAAUCAUCAUGCCCCUUAUGACCUGGGCUACACACGUGCUACAAUGGAUGGUACAAAGGGCUGCAAACCUGCGAAGGUAAGCGAAUCCCAUAAAGCCAUUCUCAGUUCGGAUUGCAGGCUGCAACUCGCCUGCAUGAAGCCGGAAUCGCUAGUAAUCGCGGAUCAGCAUGCCGCGGUGAAUACGUUCCCGGGCCUUGUACACACCGCCCGUCACACCA
rnacentral:rRNA from 1 species